AAUUUUGUCAGAGCCAUUCUAGGCUUCUGAGCCAUAAACAGGAGUUCUGCAUUAGAAACUUGAAGGCCACUACCUGUUCUGUUGAAGCUGAUGUUAGAACAAGUGGUCUUUAUUCUAACACCUGUUCGUCUCUCAAUUCUAAGAGCCAUGCACCUCCUAGGAUUAUUGAAAAAGUUGGAAAUACAGAAAAAUAUACAGUGAAAUAUUUAAAUAAUUAGGAAGAUUAUAAACCAAAGUUAAGUGCUUCUAUUUAAUUUUUUAAAUGUACACAUGCCUAUCUAUCUAUAUGUAGCUAUAUAUUUAAAUACUUUGAAUCAAAUUCUUAGAGUCUUAUUUUACUUAAAUUAUACAUGCACAUUUUGCAGUUAUUAAAAUUACUUAAAUAUACUUUUAAUUAUUAUACCGUAUAUACUCUUACUUAUGUAAAUAUUUUUACUUUUUUUUUUUAUAGAGACAUUUUUACUAUGCUGCCCAGGCUGGCCUCAAACUCCUGGGCUCCAAUGAUCCUCCCACCUCAGCCUCCUGAGUAGCUGGGACUACAGGAAUACACAACCAUGCCCAGCUUAAUUAAUACUUUAAAUGUUUAACGUAUAUAAUUUGAUGAUAAAAAAUACAGACUUAGAGUCUACGAACAUGUAACAUUAUUAUAGACCUAGUAGGAGUUCCUGGUUGCUAUGCUACAUUACUUUUUGUAAGAUAUGUAAAGGCAUAUAAAUACAUUUUAUAAAUGGUAGGGCCAAAACUAGGGUGAGGUAAGCAAGGUGUCUCAGGCACAAAAUUUCAGGAGGUCCUCACUCUCCAUUGCAAAUGCUGACCCUGACCUUCCAUGAACCUGAGAGUGAAUGUUUCAUAAACAUUUGCACCAGGUGCCUUGUUUGCCUCACCCUAGUCCUGACCCUGACAAAUGAUAAUCCUAAGUUUUUGAGUAUCCUAAAAAUAUACUGUUUAAGAUGUGUUAUCAUAGUCAAUAUAUUCUGUUCCUAAAAUCUAAGCACUAAAUUAACAGUUUGAAGGCAUUCUUUGUAAAUAAUUAUUUCUCAUUUGAAAAUAAUUUAGGAUAUUUAAAUUAUUUUUAAGAUAAUUAAAAAAUUUUAAGAUAUUUCUGUGUAUCUUUUUUUCACCUGUAGAGGUAGAACAGUUUCUUCUACAUUUUGGCGCUGAUUCUACCAAGUGUGUUCUUAAUUUUAGGUCCUUCUGCUUGCACCCUCAAUACUGUAACCAUUAGACAAAUGUCUUAAGUAGAAUGAUCAACACUCAUUACCUUUACUUCUUAAUCUGCCACUAAUUUCUAAAUGUGAGUAACACCUAGUUCUCAAAACCAACAUAAAAUGUGCUGUCUUGUCUUUACCUUUUCUCUCUGCAACACUGGGCUGUUCAAUGGUACCUCUUGCAAUCCCAUUCUUCUUGCCUGUCUUCUUUCUCUAAGGCAGUUCCAUCAAGACUGUCUUUGUAUCGCGAAGGCCACAUCCUCUUAGUUUUUUGUUUGCUUGGUUGCUUUCCUAUUUUGUUUAUUUUGUGUUUAUUUCUUUUGCUUUUCUUGUAGCAGCAAUAGACAUAGAGUGAUAUUUGAAAUUGUGAAGUGGUAUAUUGAAAGGUUUUUUUUGUGUGUGUGGGAGAAAUACUUGGUAGUGAAAAGUGGAAAAAGUAAAGAAAAACUAGAUGAACUAAGAUUACAGAAAAAUCUUUGGGAGGCCGAGGUGGGCGGAUUAUGAGGUCAGGAGAUCAAGACCAUCCUGGCUAACACGGUGAAACCCCAUCUCUACUAAAAAUAAAAAUAAAAAAAAAAUUAGCCAGGUGUGGUGGCAUUCGCCUGUAGUCCCAGCUACUCAGGAGGCUGAGGCAGGAGAAUGGUGUGAACCAGGGAGGCGGAGUUUGCAGUGAGCCAAGAUCACACCACUGCACUCCAGCCUGGGCGACAGAGCGAGACUCCAUCUCAGAAAAAAAAAAAAAAAGAAAA
rnacentral:lncRNA from 1 species